rnacentral:lncRNA from 1 species
UCAGCUCAACUUGUACUUAAACUCCAAGCCUACCAAGCGGGCAACGUGGGACUCGAGUCCCGGCGUUUAUUAUCAAGCCCUUCAUGAGCGUGUACCGAUUUGUAACAGUUUUUAUUAGCCAUUUCUCUCGCCUGUCCUCUGAGGAAGAAAAUCCAUAGAUGCCGUAGUGCUGGCCCGGAGCUGGGUGUCUUUCGGGACAAAGAGUUCUCAUUACGACACACAACAACAACAAAGCAAGAACAACAGAGCAGUGGAUGUAACCAUGCCAGGCAAGCCUGCAUGUUAAGAAACAGAAUAAAAAGAAAUAAAAAUUUAUGAACAGUCGCACAGGGCCCUGCAUAUGUGACUUGCUAUUAGGCAUAAUAAGGUGCACGGCAUUUUAGUCUUGGGCCCUGUCCGAGGUGGUUUGUUACUGGAUGAAGUGGGAGGACCUUGUGAA